CGGGGAGGCAGCUGUGUGGUCAGGGAGUGGCCAGAGGGAGCGGAGAGAAACUGGGCUGUGUCCUGUGGGUGAAACCAAGGGGUGUCCUGACCAGCAGGAUAUCCCUGACCAAGGUUAUGGCGGGGGCCUGGGUGCCACGGAUGGCAGCAGGCAUGCCAGAAGGACUGGGAGGAUGUGGGCGCAGCUAGAGGGGCCCCCUAGGGAGGAAGUGAGAAAGACCAACACGGUCUGAGACUGGAGACUGUCUCUUCGGGACUGAGGUGACAUCGAAUUUGGUUUACAACCACCUGCAUGCUCAGCGGCGAGUUCCUACGGAUGAGCAGUGCUUUACUGGUAGUUCGUGGGUAGCUACUGAAUGGACUAGUGAAUAAAGUCACGUCACACUCAGCAGUUGGAACUUUCAGGUUGAAUUCACAUGCUUCAGGCUUGGUCCAGCCAACAGAAAGCAGCGUUCAACAGGGCACACACUGCCGUGGCUUCCCCUUCCCCUCCGUGAAGGACAGUGGCACGGACCAGAGACCACACAGCUCACAUGGAGACUUCGAAGCACGGCAAGGCCUUCAUUGCUGUACUCAACAUCAGGAAAACCCUGGAAGAGGCCACUAGCGGGACACUGCUCCAGGGAUGUUUCUGAAUCCAUUCUGAUUUAUUUUAAGCAAAUCUUAUACAUGUGAGUAGCUGAGUGUUUUAUUAAAAUUAGUGAUGGUCUGAACACAUUUCAUUAUUAACCUCAAUAAAUUUAGAACUUCAACUUCAUUUAAUACAAUUAUUAUGCAAAACAAAGAAAAUCUCCUAGAAAAUGGUUUGGGACACAUUAAAGUAGGAAUAAUCUUGAUAUUAAAGUGAGAAUGGAAACAUUGUCAUAUUACCUCAUUUCUUUCAUCGAAACUUUUGCUGGAAA
ensembl:lincRNA